rnacentral:rRNA from 1 species
UACGUAGGGGGCAAGCGUUGUCCGGAAUUAUUGGGCGUAAAGCGCGCGCAGGCGGUUCUUUAAGUCUUGUGUUUAAGCCCGGGGCUCAACCCCGGUACGCAUGGGAAACUGGAGAGCUCGAGUGCAGGAGAGGAAAGUGGAAUUCCACGUGUAGCGGUGAAAUGCGUAGAGAUGUGGAGGAACACCAGUGGCGAAGGCGACUUUCUGGCCUGUAACUGACGCUGAGGCGCGAAAGCGUGGGGAGCAAACAGG